GGCCGCCUAGCGUAAUGGUAACGCAUCUAACUUCGAAUCAAGAGAUUGCAGGUCCGAUCCCUGCGGUGGUCA
rnacentral:tRNA from 1 species